rnacentral:ncRNA from 1 species
UUAAACAUAUCGAAAAGCAGAGUAAGCAACAAAGCCUUCAAGAGAGCUUCCGGUUGGUGGAAGGAAGCAGGUGUCGUUGCCGAAGAUGGGCUUGGAAUGGUACUGGCGAUCGUGAUUAGCCAGUAACGGGUUAGCACACGUUAUUCGUGCUAGGUAAUUCUAACCGUGGUUAGAGUAACCUACUGAGGCUGGGUCGGUGACGGCGCAGCGAAUAAGGGUGGUAACGCGAAGCACUCGUCCUUUAG